rnacentral:lncRNA from 1 species
CGGGCAGAGGCCAUCUCGUGGAUAAUUCCUUCCCUUCCCUUGCUUCACUUGGGAGUGCUGCUUAAAAUUCCCUAAAAUACUAUUUUGUGUAAAUUUGGAUUUCCCAAGAUAUGUUCAACGUAAGCCCAAAAUCCUUUGAAUCUUCUCCCCUCUUCCGUCAGUAACAAAAGCUUCAGCUGUAGCUGUUGGUUGAUGAUUCCGAAUCCGUGCCUAGCAAAGGAAGAGCCAUAGAGAUACCCCUAAAUUAUGAGCAGACAAAAUUGGGUAGCAGAAAAUUACUAUUCUAAGGAUUUCGAGUGGGAUGAAUUGAGACAAGAAGUUGAAAACGAUCCCUCUCUUCAAUACCACUUGCUCCCUUACACAAAAUUUGAUUCUGGAAAUCAAGACGACGUUCAAGACUCUGAAGCAUGGGACAAGUUUCAUGCUCGUCACUCCACUGGCAAGUUCUUUAAGGUAAAGGGAGGAAAACAAGUAUUUUUUUUUUUUUGAUAAAUUAUAAAUAAAAACUAAUGAAGG